AAGUCGUAACAAGGUAACCGUAGGUGAACCUGCGGUUGGAUCAUUAUCACGUAUCCACGUUAUCAACCAACGCGAACUUUCGGCUAGUAAUUUCUUCGGAAGUGAACGCCUUUCUCAGCUCUGAGUUUCAGUCGAUUUAUUUCGUGCGGAGACUUUGUGGCUUUGAUAAACUUGAUUAACUAUCAACCCCCUUUAUACAUUAUUGUACUGAACUGUUUCUUCCUCUGACAGCUUCGGCUCGAGGAGAAGAAAACAAAUUACGAAACAAAGAACAACUCUUAGCAACGGAUAUCUUGGUUCUC
rnacentral:misc_RNA from 1 species